GGAGGGAUCAUUACAACGUAUCCAACGUAUAAACCUUUGUGAACUUAGUUUGUUAAAAACCCUCUGACGGAUUUUGCGAUUCAUUUUGUAAAAUCCCAAUGAGCUUUUACCACACUUAUUAACCUUUUGUAACUUUAUCUAUUGUAACGUAUGACAAAAUAAAAGAGCUGUCGAAAGACAGAGUUCUGUAUUUUAUCAUUUCUUAAUAAAAUAAGAAAUUAUACGCACAACUCUUAGCAACGGAUAUCUAGGCUCUCGUAUCGAUGAAGAACGCAGCGAAAUGCGAUACGUAAUGCGAAUUGCAGAAUUCAGUGAAUCAUCAAAUCUUUGAACGCAGCUUGCGCCCUUGGGAAUCCCUGGGGGCAUACGUUUCUGAGUAUCGUUUCAACUCUCUACCCGCGGCGUGCGCUUGCGUACAAUGCAUACGGUAGGAUUUGGGUCAUUGGUCUUCACGGGCUAAUGAUCUUAAGCGAAUACAAUUCUUGAAUCGCUCCGUGUUUCUUCUUCGGAAGAGGCGCUGUCGAUGUCUGAUACUUGACUCCGGUCAAAUUAUUAUCGCAUUGACAGUUAGGAAUGUAUUGAAGGAUUUAUACAAGGAAUCAAAAUUGAAUAAUACACUUCGGUGUUGCAUUCUUUUUUAAUCUUGAUCUCAGAUAAGGUAAGAGAACCCGCCGAAUUUAAGCAUAUUAUUAAGCGGAGGAAAAGAAACUAACAAGGAUUCCCCUAGUAACGGCGAGUGAAGCGGGAAGAGCUCAAAGUUAAAAUCGGGGUUCUGAGAGGAGCUUCCGAAUUGUAAUCUAGAGACACUUUUUCAGCUUCGACCCGGGUAUAAAUCUUUUGAAACGAGGUGUCAUAGAGGGUGAGAAUCCCGUCUUUGAUCCGGAGUUCGGGGCGUACGAAGGGUGUUCCAAGAGUCGAAUAGCUUGGGAAUGCUGUUCUAAAUGGGUGGUAAAUUUCAUCUAAAGCUAAAUAUCGACGAGAGACCGAUAGCGAACAAGUACCGUGAGGGAAAGAUGAAAAGAACUUUGAAAAGAGAGUUAAAAAGUACUUGAAAUUGUUAAGAAGGAAGCACUGGAAACCAGUUGUGCUGGCUUUACAUAGACACUACGUUGGUGAGAGGGCAAAUCGACACCUCAAAAGGUCGACCAAACUUCAAAGCUAGCGUAGUGUUCUCGUAAGGUUGGUGAGUCAGGAUCGGUUCUGUUCACGGAAGAAAGCCAACGGAAGGUAGUCCGCUCUCAGCGAUGGGAGUAGAAACUUAUAGCCGUUGGCCAACCCGGGGAUGGGACCGAGGUACAUCAACAAUACGUUCCGCAAGGCUGCAGGUGGGGGUCCCUUGCUGGCGGUGGGUUUGAAGAGCAAAGCUCUGCAGAGCUCACCGUUGGUUACUGGGCUUUCACUUGACCACGUAUUCGAGAUCUUGACGAAAUGGUUUUCAUUGACCCGUCUUGAAACACGGACCAAGGAGUCUAACAUAUAUGCGAGUAUUUGGGUGUGAAAACCCUGAUGCGCAAUGAAAGUGAAGCCAGACUUUUGUUUGGUGAGGUAGGAACCGCAAGGGGCACUAUCGACCGAUCGUUCAUUUAUGAAAGAUUUGAGUAAGAGCAUAUCUGUUGGGACCCGAAAGAUGGUGAACUAUGCCUGAUCAGGGUGAAGCCAGGGGAAACUCUGGUGGAGGCUCGUAGCGAUACUGACGUGCAAAUCGUUCGUCUGAAUUGGGUAUAGGGGCGAAAGACUAAUCGAACCAUCUAGUAGCUGGUUCCCGC
rnacentral:misc_RNA from 1 species